GAGACUGGUUUGGGGAACCACCCUCUGUCCUAAGUGGCUGCUGUGCAGUCUUUGUGGCUAUUUUGGGUCUGUACUCUGCAAGAGUGAGCUGGCGCCCCCACCCGAGCCAGCACACCCAGGGCGGAGGGAGCCAGGGUACUGGGAGAAGCGCACGGACCUGCCUCUGACUGGGGAAGGGUGCCGUAUGGCCCUGCUCUGCGUCCAGGUCAGAGGGCUGGAAGCCCUUUGGCGCUGGGGAGAUGCUGACUUCUGGUAGAAGUUGAUGUUCCAGGGAUCCAAAGACCCCUCUCUAUCACUGGGCUGUGCGAUCUCAGGGCGCAGAGUACCCAAAGACCUGGGGAUUGAGCUCAGGCCUUGCGCUUGCCAGGGAAGCACUCGUUCCACGGAGCCAUCUCCCCGGCUCCCCAGGUACUGCUCUAUAACCCCAUUUCAUAGAUGAAGAAGUUGAGGCUCAGAGGGACCAAAGGUUCUUUCCAAGAUUACUCAACUGACUGCAGUCGAAAGGCCAAGGGAAUUUCAGAGUCCCAGCUGUGGGGGGCCCUGUCUCACUUCAGGAUGGACAGCUCUCCUCAGAAGCAGCCUCAGCCCUGGAAGCCCCUUCAAGGUCAUGGGGUUUAGCUAGCCCUUCGUCCUGCAGUGCUGUUGACCACAGCCCUGGCUUGAGCUUGCGUGGCACAAGGGGCAGGAGGCGCACUGCUUCUGGGCACAGCUCACUCUGCUGUGGGGCAGGACUGAUGGCGGGCGUGGGGUCCCAUUGAGGGCACCCAGACUGGUCUCCUUAUGGGAUACGCCGUGGUACUUUGUGCCAGUUCAACCCUAGGGCCACACAGCCCAGGUCAGCUCCCUCUGCCCCCGUUCCCUCAGGAUGUUACCCUGCAGGUCUUCCUUCCUUAUGGGAGGCCAAAGGCCCACGGGGGAACAUCUCUGCUGUUUUGGGGAAGGAGACCACGGCAGUCCUGCCUUCUGCCUGAAAAUUAUUUUCCUAUUAUUUUAGCCCAAAUGGAACUCCUGUUGUAGCAGCCCACUGCGCGCUGACAUCACCGUCCUCUCCUAUGAGCUUCUGGGGAGCCGUGUGGCCCCUUGUGCCAAGCUGGACCAAUAAAUACACUUGAAUCACUCCACUUCUCCAAGUCCAGGCUGGGGAGGAAUUGCUAAUGGUGCUUU